UGAUCUAUGUCUGAAAACGUUGAACUUCCGCCCUUUUUCAAAUGGGGUACAAUUGAAUAAACUGCAUCAGAAUCAGAUGAGAGAAAUUCUUAUGAUAUACUAUUAUCAAUGCUAAAAAUCAAAUUACUGAAAAAAUUGUCAGUGUAUAACUUAAGUUAAACCGUUUGAAGGCAUCUUUUUCUUUUUUACUCAUAUUAGCAAAAUUUAUUAAUUUCGCUAAUUUACUCGCUCCUCCGUGCACUUUUGCUGAUCACAACAGAAAUGAUUCCCUGCAUCAUUCAUUUCCGAAUUUACAAGAAGAAGCGUUUACUUCAACAAAUACACGUUUUUCUAUAGAAUGUAAACGUUUAUUGUGGAGAUUUUUUCAGGAAAUAGGGCAAAGCAGUAAUAUAAUUAGGUAUUUCAAAAACGCGCUCAUUGAAAAUUUUUGGACGUCACAUUCCAAAAACCUCCCCCCCUUCCCCCUGUCACAAAAGGUCACGUUUUAUGAAACACCCCCCUCCCCCUUGCGGCGUGACGUCUUUUAUGGACAGCCCCUAAGGUGCGUUACGCUUCAAUGUUAACAGAAUAACUUCAUGAUACGGUGGCCUCCAUUCAUGAUGUAUUAGCAUAACUCUCUUUACAUUGUGAUUCAAAUAAAAAUAUUGUGCGCUCAAUUUUUUUAGAAAUGGCUUAACCGAUGUUCACAGGGAUGUAUUUUUAAAAGUGAUAAUAUAAAAAGAAGGGGAAUCCGAAACUAGUGAGUAAAUUAUUUUAUAAUUAAUUUGUUCAAGGGAGGGUGGGGAGGCUUUUCAAUUUGAAAGAAAAGUGCGUCAUCCACAAUAUUGACGCUGUAAAACAAAUUCUGAGAACGAGGUUGAAAAUAUAAAUCACUAAACCCCCUCCACCACCCUGCGCACGGGCCUGUCUGGGCUAGGUGUUAGCUACAAUGGGUUUCAGGAUGAUGAGCGUAUAAGCAGUGAGAACUAUAGUAACGGGAUGAUUAGCAGAGAUUAGUGAGGGAAGGCAGAUGUUUUGGAUAGAAAUAGCGAACAGAUUUCAACAAACUUACAAUCAAAUGGUAAGGUGUUAUAACUCCAUCAGUUGAUUUUAAAUUUCAACCGGAUCUGGCUUCCGAUAAUUACAAGAUAUAAAUAACAAAACAUCAAUCUGCUAUUUAAAUGAUGGCCCAUUAGUAGGGGAUAAAAACUCCUUCCAGCCAUACCGAAUUAGCACAUCAGAAAAAUGUAAACGGAAACUCCGAAAUAAAAUUACCAUACAUCAUACAUCAAUUUCUAAUCAUUACACCUCUAGAACGAGUCUUUUAUUUGUAAAUUGUAAAGUUGCAAGGAAUGUG